GGAAGUAAAAGUCGUAACAAGGUUUCCGUAGGCGAACCUGCGGAAGGAUCAUUACUGAUUUAGCGAACCGAGCGUUAGCGAGGUUUUGCGAUCACUUAUAUUUAAAACCCACUCUUUGAACGUAUAAAAUUUUAUGUAUUAAUGAUAAAAAUAAAAGAUCACUUUCAACAACGGAUCUCUUGGCUCUCGCAUCGAUGAAGAACGUAGCGAAGUGCGAUAAGUAAUGUGAAUUGCAGUAUUCCGUGAAUCAUCGAAUCUUUGAACGCAUAUUGCACUUUCUGGUAUUCCGGAAAGUAUGCCUGUUUGAGGGUCAGUUAAAUAAAAAUCGGUGUUGUUGCUGCCUUUCGUGGUGACGCGUCGGAAUUGAGUUGUCUUACCUUCGGUUAAGUGACUUAAAAUUUUGUAUGAUUUUUGAACGUAUUUAAAUUUAUUUGUACGUUUGAGAUAUCGAAUAUUUAUUAGGUUCGGUCAUUCUAACGACUCGCGCCUAUAAUUUUCCAUUAAAUGACCUCAAAUCAGGUAAGAAUACCCGCUGAACUUAAGCAUAUCAAUAAGCGGAGGA
rnacentral:rRNA from 1 species